GAGAUAUUAGUUUAAGGGUAAAACUUGAUGUUACGGCCAUCACAAUUGUAGUUCAAAUCUACAAUAUCUCU
rnacentral:tRNA from 1 species